rnacentral:rRNA from 1 species
CUAACCCCAUGCAAGUCGGACGAUCUGUAGCAAUACAGGGAGUGGCGGAAGGGUGAGUAACACGUAGAAAUCUACCUCGACGGAGGGAACAACCCCUCGAAAGAGAGGCUAAUACCCAAAAGGAUCCGCAAGGAUCAGAGUCGCAAGGCCUGUCGAGAGGAAUCUGCGGCCCAUCAGCUCGUUGGUGAGGUAAGAGCUUACCAAGGCUACGACGGGUAGGGGGUCUGAGAGGAUGUCCCCCCACACUGGAACUGAAACACGGUCCAGACGCCUACGGGUGGCAGCAGGGAGGAAUAUUGGUCAAUGGGGGAAACCCCGAACCAGCAACGCCGCGUGAGGGAUGAAGGCCUUCGGGUUGUAAACCUCCUUUCAGGGAAACGAGAAAGGACGGUAUCCCUGGAAUAAGUCACGGCUAACUACGUGCCAGCAGCCGCGGUAAUACGUAGGUGACGAGCGUUAUCCGGAUUUACUGGGCGUAAAGCGCUUGUAGGUGGUCUUGUAAGUUGGGCGUGAAAGCUCCGGGCUUAACUCGGAGAGGCCGUCCAAUACUGCGAGGCUGGAGGAUGUCAGAGGAAGGUGGAAUUCCUGGUGUAGUGGUGAAAUGCGUAGAUAUCAGGAGGAACACCCGUGGCGAAGGCGGCCUUCUGGGGCAUUCCUGACACUGAGAAGCGAAAGCUAGGGGAGCAAACAGGAUUAGAAACCCUGGUAGUCCUAGCCGUAAACGAUGGAUGCUAGGUGUUGGCGGAUUUAACCCUGCCAGUGCCGAAGCUAACGCGUUAAGCAUCCCGCCUGGGAAGUACGACCGCAAGGUUAAAACUCAAACGGAAUUGACGGGGACCCGCACAGGCAGCGGAGCGUGUGGUUUAAUUCGAUGCUACACGAA